GGCGUAUUUUGCGAUGGUGGAGCUCGACCGCCGGUCGAAGUGAUGGUGGGUUUCAUCGAGGCGCAUCGUGAUGCGCAUGCCCUUGCGCUCCA
rfam:Citreicella sp. 357 C357_131, whole genome shotgun sequence.